UACGUAGGUGGCAAGCGUUUGUCCGGAAUUAUUGGGCGUAAAGCGCGCGCAGGCGGUCCCUUAAGUCUGAUGUGAAAGUCCACGGCUCAACCGUGGAGGGUCAUUGGAAACUGGGGGACUUGAGUACAGAAGAGGAAAGCGGAAUUCCACGUGUAGCGGUGAAAUGCGUAGAAGAUGUGGAGGAACACCAGUGGCGAAGGCGGCUUUCUGGUCUGUAACUGACGCUGAGGCGCGAAAGCGUGGGGAGCAAACAGG
rnacentral:rRNA from 1 species